rnacentral:rRNA from 1 species
UACGAAGGGGGCUAGCGUUGCUCGGAAUCACUGGGCGUAAAGCGCACGUAGGCGGACUCUUAAGUCGGUGGUGAAAUCCUGGAGCUCAACUCCAGAACUGCCUUCGAUACUGAGAGUCUCGAGUCCGGGAGAGGAGACUGGAAUUUACGGUGUAGCGGUGAAAUGCGUAGAUAUCGUAAGGAAGACCAGUGGCGAAGGCGGGUCUCUGGACAGUUCCUGACGCUGAGGCGCGAAAGCUAGGGGAGCGAACAGG